AUUGAACGCCGGCGCCAGGCCAAACACAUCAAAGUCGAACGGUAACAGGAAGCACCUCCCUCUUUUGCUGACGAGUGCCGGACGGCUGAGAAAUGCCAGGGAAAUUCCCUAAUGAAGGGGCUUACCAACUGGAAACGUUACUUAAUCCCUAAUACCACCGCAAGACCAAUGAGGGGUACUUUAGGGCCUCUCGCCCUCGGUUGUGCCCAGAUGGGCUUACCUAGUAGUUGGGCUAACGUCCAACCUAGCCGCCGUUCCCUAGCUGGUCUGAGGAGAUGACCAGCCACACUGGAACUGAGACACGGUCCAGACUCCUACGGGAGGCAGCAGUGGGGAAUAUUGCACAGUGGGCGCAAGCCUGAUGCAGCCAUGCCGCGUGUAUGAAGAAGGCCUUCUGGUUGUAAAGUACUUUCAGCGGGGAGGAAGGGAGUAAAGUUAAUACCUUUGCUCAUUGACGUUACCCGCAGGAGAAGCACCGGCUAACUCCGUG
rnacentral:rRNA from 1 species